UACAUUACCGGAAGCAGCAAGGAACAACUCGAGAAAUCUCCAUUCCUGGAGAGGCUCAUCAAGAAGGGCUAUGAGGUCAUCUUCUUCACGGACCCAGUUGAUGAAUACUUGAUGCAAUACCUGAUGGAUUACGAAGACAAAAAGUUCCAGAAUGUGUCAAAAGAAGGACUGAAGGUUGGGAAAGAUUCAAAAGCCAAGGAGCUCAAAGAAGCAUUCAAGGAGCUAACCAAGUGGUGGAAAGGAAAUCUCGCAAGCGAG